rnacentral:rRNA from 1 species
GAAAAAAAUGACGGUACCUGAGGAGGAAGCCACGGCUAACUACGUGCCAGCAGCCGCGGUAAUACGUAGGUGGCAAGCGUUGUCCGGAAUUACUGGGCGUAAAGAGCGCGUAGGCGGGGAUUUAAGUCAGGAGUGAAAACUACCGGCUCAACCGGUAGCCUGCUCUUGAAACUGAAUUUCUUGAGGGUAUGAGAGGAAAGCGGAAUUCCCAGUGUAGCGGUGAAAUGCGUAGAUAUUGGGAGGAACACCAGUGGCGAAGGCGGCUUUCUGGCAUACAACUGACGCUGAGGCGCGAAAGCGUGGGGAGCAAACGGGAUUAGAUACCCCGGUAGUCCACGCCGUAAACGAUGGGUACUAGGUGUAGGAGGUAUCGACCCCUUCUGUGCCGUAGUUAACACAAUAAGUACCCCGCCUGGGGAGUACGGCCGCAAGGUUGAAACUCAAAGGAAUUGACGGGGGCCCGCACAAGCGGUGGAGUAUGUGGUUUAAUUCGACGCAACGCGAAGAACCUUACCAGGGCUUGACAUCCCCUGAAUGCUAUGGAAACAUGGAGUUCUGCCUUCGGGUGGACAGGGAGACAGGUGGUGCAUGGUUGUCGUCAGCUCGUGUCGUGAGAUGUUGGGUUAAGUCCCGCAACGAGCGCAACCCUAAUCCCGCGGCCAUG